GAUGAACGCUGGCGGCGUGCCUAAUACAUGCAAGUCGAGCGAACAGACGAGGAGCUUGCUCCUCUGACGUUAGCGGCUGACGGGUGAGUAACACGUGGAUAACCUACCUAUAAUACUGGGAUAACUUCGGGAAACCGGAGCUAAUACCGGAUAAUAUAUUGAACCGCAUGGAUCAAUAGUGAAAGACGGUUUUGCUGUCACUUAUAGAUGGAUCCGCGCCGCAUUAGCUAGUUGGUAAGGUAACGGCUUACCAAGGCAACGAUGCGUAGCCGACCUGAGAGGGUGAUCGGCCACACUGGAACUGAGACACGGUCCAGACUCCUACGGGAGGCAGCAGUAGGGAAUCUUCCGCAAUGGGCGAAAGCCUGACGGAGCAACGCCGCGUGAGUGAUGAAGGUCUUCGGAUCGUAAAACUCUGUUAUUAGGGAAGAACAAAUGUGUAAGUAACUAUGCACGUCUUGACGGUACCUAAUCAGAAAGCCACGGCUAACUACGUG
rnacentral:rRNA from 1 species